AUGAAGGUUUUGAGUUGGAAUUGUAACGGACUGGGGAAUGCCCCGGCGGUUCGUGCUUUGUUGGACGUCCAGCGAGGAUGCAACCCAGAUGUGAUGUUUUUGUCGGAGACACACUUAGACAACUAUCCGGCUGAGUGCUUGAGAAGGCGAUUAAAGAUGGAUCGAAAGUUAGUAUGUGCUGGGGAUGGAAGGAAAGGUGGCUUGUUGUUA
rnacentral:rRNA from 1 species